ensembl:lncRNA
GUCCUGGUCAUUUGCCUGCUUGCUCUCAGAUUCUUCAUUUUUGUCUUUGUCUUACGCUGUCUAUAUCACAGGAAGCUGAUUCCUGCCAAAUCCAUUUCCUGGACUUGUUUACCUAUGCCCAGAAGAAAUUAGGACAAUGAAAGAUAAAAAGAUAAAGUUAGGAGCAUUGGUAGAAUAAGAGGAAGAGCCAAUAUAUCCUCUCCCCUUUGAUUCGGACUUCUCCACCAUCACCUUCUUCACAAUGGCCACUUUUCCUCUACAAUUGAGUUCUUUUUCCUCAGCAAUGGCUCCAGGGCUCUGUUAACUUAGCUCCUCCCCAGCCCUAGAGGUAGACGGUAGCAGCCUCCGGCUAUUGCUACUCUCCAGGGUUUCCUUUCUUCUCCAGUUUGGCUUUCUAGCCCUUCCAACUCCUUUGUAACUAGUUCGUGGUAUUAAAUUCACUUACCUGAACUAUCUGACUUGGGCCCUGAUGUUUGAGUGGGCCCUACCUCACACACUGAGAUUGACAACACUUGACAAGUUGUUAGGCAAAUAAUAAAAUAAUUAUCAUAAUCCUAGAAGCAUUCAUGUAGGUAUUGCAAGGCUCAAAUCUCCAAAAUGUCCAGUGGAGACAUAAAAUAAUUAAUGAACAUGUUACUGAAAAUACACAGUACAUAGUGACAGCAUCAUUUAAAAAUUUUUUAAAGCCACUUUCAUUUUGUUCUUUUCUUCAUUCUUUAGUAAUCCCCCAUCAGUAGGGAAACCACUGGGGAAGGGAGCAGAGUGUACAAAGAAUGAUGCCCACGCUGAGCCCAAAAUAGUUCCAAGUGGAUUUGCCUGCACAAAAGAAAGAUGUAAUCAGCACCUAGACACUAUGGAAAAAUUUGUAUCUUAGCCUUGGAGGAAGAGGGAUGGCAGUUAUUCCCCCAUGAGAAAAAAUAUAAGAAAGCCCUUGUGAACUUAAUGCGAUAGCUGUUGAUUGCCUAAGGAAGAGAACAAAGCUGCAAGGGCUGCAUGAGAAGGUAGGAAGAAGUUGCUUCAACAGCACAACCCAUCUCUCUGUGACAAGCACUGGAUGGGCUGACUCAGUGAGGAUUGACAUUGGCCAAAUACCACAUCAGGUGCCAGAGAUGGGAAGAAAACAACAUGCAGAGAUAAUUUUGGAAGUAGAAAGGAAGAGGACACCACAAAGUGGGGACAUGAGAGAUACAAGUUACAGUUAGCAGAACAGGAAAUGAAGAUUCAUGUAUUAAGAAAAUUACUAAAGAGAAACUUAAGUAAGUAAGUUGUCUAAAAUUACAAUAAAGGAACUAAAAAUAAUGAGAACAUCCAUAUUGGGAGGGAGGAGGGUGUAAGUGAACUAAGUUCUCAUCUAUCAGAAUAGGAAGGAAGUCCACAGAUACAGCCUGUCUGUCUGAUAAAUAAAGAAGUGGUGAUAUGACUGUAUUAUUUAGAGAUAGGGAAGUAACCACCCAGAAGAAUUUUUUAAACUGUGGCUGUUAAAAAGUCAGACUUGGCCGGGUGUGGUGGCUCAUGCCUGUAAUCCAAGCACUUUGGAGGCCAAGGCGGGCAGAUCACCUGAAGUCGGGAAUUCAAGACCAGCCUGACCAACAUGGAGAAACCCCAUUUAAAAAAAAAAAAAAAAGUCAGACGUGGUCUAGGGUUUGAGUGGAAGACAA